UGAAUCCUUGGCCACCCACUUCUGUACUUUAAACGCCUCAUGGCAGGAAGUCCUCUCUUCCUCUGUCUUGCAGGGCAAUUGGGCACCUGUUGUGAGGGUAACUUGUCACCUGAGCAGUGGCUCUGCACCUCCUGGCCAACAGCUGAUCCAGUCCCUUGGUGUUGCUGAGGCAACAGGUUCGGGCAGUUCUGCUGGCCCAUCAGUGAGGACCCCCCCUUUUUUUUUAGUUUUGCGUCCUGCUAGGAAUGUGUCAGCCAGGUGGAACUCUGGAAGAGGGUGGGGGGCAUUCAUAGUUUGAACAAGAAACAGUACCAUUCUAUUGUCAGUGCCCCGACCCCUGAUCUACAGUGAUAAGGUGAACCCAAAUAGUACUGAUACAUUCCUAGUACUACAGAAUUGUCAGCACAUGCUGUUGAGGAAGAUGGCUGCCUUUGGCAGGAUGGAUUGGUCUGCUCAUUGGGAAAGGUAAAGAGCAGGUGAGAAUGUAAGAAACAGGUUAACAUUCUGUUGCCACGGGAAUGCCCCUUGAGAGAAAAGUUAUUCUUCUUUGUUAGAGAUUUAGCUGGAUGUGCACAGAACUGGCUUCUUGAAACAGCUUUCUGGUUGACUCAUUUGCUGGAAGUAAACCCCCCCUCCAAGUUUGAAGGUUGACCCUAAAACUAUCUUAAAAAUGUGGGUUGAAUUGUAGGUGAGAGAGAAAAGUGCAACAGGGCAGUCAUAGGAUCAGAAGUUUCAGUGUUGGGUGUGAUAGCAUUUUGUAUCACAAUGUUCUCUAGUAACACAUAAAUCAACCUGGACUAUUUAAUGAGCAGUUGCUGAAAUCAAGAUGUAGGCAGUAGCUACUAGUAGAAAGGAAGAACAAUACCAAAAUUUUCUUUUUAAUGCAGGUUGUAGUUUAAUACUUUGCCUUAGAAGCAUGAUUCAUACCUGUCCUUUUUGUGAAACUAUCUUCUGCUGUAAGAUUCCCUCAGAAGGUUUGCCUGCAGCAUGACUUGAAAAGGCAAUACAAGCUAAACAGGGCAGAUGUUUUUUUCUCUAGUGAGAUGCAGAAGAAGUCCCUGGUAGGAAUCUACCUUGAGCUUAUUGGGAAGAGUGGUUAAUAAGAAACUGUUCUAAACUUACAGUAUUCAAGAACGAUAUGCAUUAAUUUUAUAUAUUCUCAUACAUAGAAAUUCUUUGCUGCUAACGAUAGGAAGAUGGCAUGAUAAGCCUUAUUGUACAAAAUGAUCCCCAAAAUAAUGUUGGUCUUUACACACAUUAGAAUAUAAUAUUGGGAAAUGGUGUACUCUUUUCUUCUUUACCAGCAAUAUUUUGUCUUAGAUUAGGCUUCUCCAACGCGGUGCCCUCCAGAUGUUUGGACUACAACUCCCACCAGGUCCAGCAAUUAUCACAAAUUGAGAGGGGUGAUGGAAGUAGUCCAAAACAUCUGGACAGAAAGAGGUUGAGGAAGGCUGUUUGAGACUCCUGAGCAGCUGCCCAUUACAACAAUUUUUUUUAACAGCUUGAGAUAUGUGUAAGAAAACAAACAUUCUCUUGUUGACUACGAUCAGCAGUCCUGUUUGGAACAAAGGUUAAGUACGCCACAACCUUUGGCUGUUUUCUUUUUCAGUCCUUAAUUAUUUGCUCUGUGUUUUUGAACAAGCAGCCAGAAGGUGGUGCUACAUGCCCAUUUUUAUUAUGGAGCAGAAAUACUUUAGGUAGGAGACCUCUGCUCAUCUUUUAAGCUUUUAUAUCUUGUUAAAUGAGAACCAAGAUCUACCAGUCUUCUGCAGCUAAACCUGUCUUGUUCUGUAUCUAGGUUUAGGGCUAAUAGGCCCCCGCACUAAACACAACAACCAAUUAUUUAAACACAAACAGAAGAUUGUUGUAUAUAUGAAAGCUCAAUGCAAGAAACCACUUACCGGUAUGUACUGUAUACCUGAAAGUUCAAUACAAGAAACAAUCCGUUUUACUACAGGGUGACUCUUACAGAAGCAUAAGAAAGUCUCAGUUUUUUUCUUCUGUACAGCAGUUGAGAUUUGAUCCACAUAUGGAUACCAAAGAACCCAAAAAGCUGUUUUGUUCUGUGGAGAAAACAUCAGAUUUAGGUCAGGGAGAUGGGUGGAUUCAGCAUGAAUGAGCCUUUUGUCCUUGCAUGCAGCCCAUUCCCUUUCCCCUGUGCUGUGAUUAAAACUAAGAAAUCUUAAACUGACCACAAUCUCCUAAGAAUCCAAGCCGGGAAACUUAUGGUACCUAGGUUUGGAGCAAGCCACAGUUUGAAGUUGGUUAAAGAUGAAGGCUAAUUCAAGAACUGGUAACCAUAGUUUCUUGGUUCAUCCUUUUUCAAAUAAGUUCAGUAUGUCUCAGAACACUUUCCAAACUCCUAGUAGAGACUGAAGCUGCUGCUUACAAGACUCCUUUUGUGUCUGUAUUUGAUUUAGUGUUUUUUUAAAAGAAACAAGUUAAAAAAUUCACUAAGCAAGUUGCAUGCAACCUGGAUUCCAUCUGAUGUCACAUUGCUCUAUAAGACAGGUCUUAGACUUUCCUGGUUCAUUCUUUCUCUAUUGCCUAGAAGGUCAGCAUAGAACCUGCUGUUUCUUGACUAACUGAAAAAUACAUGGCGCAUCAUGGGAAUAACAUCACAUCAUUUGAUAUUUCCUUCCUCCACAUGUGUUAGACAGCAAACUGGGUUCUAAUUUUAGCCAGCUGCUAUGCUCGGUUAUCCUCUUGUCAUUUCUGUGACAGCCUCUGGCUAAAACUGAAAUCACUUCUUUAAAGGAGGAGCAAAAAAGAGUAUCAGAUCUGUCAGAACACGGAUUCUUUGCCAGCUUUCUGCCCUAAGAGUUCAUAAAGCAUAUAUUGUUAGGAUUAAGGUGUUUAAGGGACUCACUACAGCUCAGUUUGAGGCAAUUUUCUCCAUGGGUUCCAGUAGAGCUUGCUUCCAUGUAAGUGAGGUGAAGACUUGUUGCUCAAGAAAGGUCUCAUUACCCUACCCAGUGGUUUUAAGAGGUUCCCUAUAACUCAAGCUUUUGCAUAUGUUGUAAACCACCUGACCUGGGCAGGGAGAGGAGAGAUUACGUGGCAGAGCAGUGACCAAACCCUGUGCCCUCCUGUUUCACUAUGACUAGGAUAAAAGCCCACACCACCUACAUUUUUCACUGUAAAUUUAUUAUACCAGCUCCAGGGCUGGCACGAAGUUAGGCUGAUUCUCUAAGUAAGUUUCAUUUAUCUAUCUUUAACAAAAUGUAUAUACCACUUGAUUAUAAUAGAACCUCUAAGUGAUUGGGGUAAUGAAGGCGCUUUUAUCCAGAGCAUCCCUAUUUACGCACACCUUAGACACCUGGUUCCCCAUCUCUUCUGGUAGAACAUCUACACCAGCAGAGCUUUCUGCCAUCUUAGCAGGGGCGCUCCAACAGUGCUCCAUCUCUGCUGGUGAAGUGGUUCCAGAGGUUUUCUAGACCCUGCCAGGUGAACAUGGGGUUAGUUGAUUUAAUUUGAUUCAGUGAUUUAAUUAGUUAUGCCUAUUUUAAUAAUCAAAAGUGACAUCUAAUCAGCUGACAUAUUCGUUCCUAUAAAAAUGGCAGGUGCUGACCACCAUUUUGAGAGACGGCCACCUUUCUUCAGUAUAGAAGAAAUGUCUCUUGGGAGGUGAGGCGUACUCUUGACGUGUGUAUCAUAUGAAGCAAGGAAUACACUUUGUUUUUAGAGCUAUUGCUUUUGCUCAUAUUCAGAUGCAUUUGACUAAAGCUUCUGUGGCUGUGUACAGCAGCUUGCCCCAAGCUGGUGCCCCUCCAAAAAUUUUAGACUGCAAUUUCCAUCAGCUGAGGGCUGAUGCGAGCAGUACAGUAAUCCAAAACCUCUGGAAGGGCACUAGUUUGAGGGAAGACUGGUUUAGAGAAAUCUUAACUCAGUGUGGGCCCUAUCCAUAACUCAGUAUUUCUUAUCUCUACACCCCUCUUCUGCUUCUGUCACUUUAAAUCAGUUUUACAACUGCAAUAAUAUGUAGGUCUGUCUAAUCUGUAUAAUGCAUUCAAAUAAUGAAAUCUGGAGAGUUUUAUAUCUUUUUUAUUUUUAGGAGCUCAGACAUAUAUCAGAGCCCAAUAUUCUGUAGGGCCCCUAGGCAUAAUGUCCAUUUUUAAGCAUUUCCUCAGAUGAUGUUCCUGCUGUGCUCAAAACACUGAAGAUAAAUUACUAUAUAUUUCAAAAGCAAGCCUGGGAAAUAUCAGAAAUUUGCCCAAUAGGGGUGUUCUUUUUUGUACACUGAUGAAAAUAUAGUGUUUGAAGCAAACAUUUCUGAAACUCUGCAGUGCUUGUGUUUUGCCAAAGGAUAUAUAUGUCACAUGCCUACCCGAUCUGCAUUUUAGUCAAAUGAGUACCAUGCUUAUGCAUUCAGUCUAAGGCAAUUAAGAUAAAUUUUGUUCCACAGAUGAUUGCAUGUAAACGUCUUCAGAAUGUGCAGUUUUCAUAUAGAGUGGUGGAAACAAAAAUCAUAACUAUACACCUAAUGCAUUUUGGCCACUUCCGAGUAAAAUUGCAGCCAAGAUCAGUAAUCACCAGCUGCUUCACAAAAGCAGCUUCCUUUGAAAUUUGCACCGUUCUGCACCUUGCGAUGCUGUUUUCCAACAAAAAAAGGACAUAAGAAUCCAUAUGUUGGGGGAAGUAUGUGUACAAAUUGGUACAGAUUAGUGAAAAUAAGAUGCAUUGUUGGGGAAGGCCUCAUGGAAAAAUGUAUACAGUAGGAGAAAUGUUCCCGAGACGGCUGAAUAUAUUUUUGUGAAGGCUUGUUUUAAAAAAAGUGUUCAUAAACUGAUGCAGAAAUGUGGCAAACAGAACACAAGACUGGAAAGGGAGAGAAGAAGCCAAACCCGACAGAUUGAUCCAUCCCUAAGAGAGAGUGUUCCUCUGCCUAACAGUAGGCUGCAAUCCUGUGCACAUUUGCAUAGGAGUAAGACUCUUUUUAUAUGCCUGUUGUCUUUGUCCAUGGAGUUUUCUUGGCAGGGAUACUGGAGUGGCUUGCCGGUUUCUCCUCCAGGUGGAUCACGUUUGGUCAAAACUCUCCACUAUGACCUGUUCAUCUUGGGUGCCCUGCUUGGCAUAGUUCAUAGCUUCUCUGAGUUACUCAAGCCCCUUCACCAUGGCAAGGCAGUGAUCCAUGAAGGUUUUUUUGUUGGUUUUUUUUGGUGCUGGAGGAGACUCUUGAGAGUCCCAUGGACUGCAAGAAGAUCAAACCUAUCCAUUCUUAAGGAAAUCAGCCCUGACUGCUCACUGGAAGGACAGAUCGUGAAGCUGAGGCUCCAAUACUUUGGCCACCUCAUGAGAAGAGAAGACUCCCUGGAAAAGACCCUGAUGUUGAGAAAGAUGGAGGGCACAAGGAGAAGGGGAUGACAGAGGAUGAGAUGGUUGGAUAGUGUUCUCGAAGCUACUAGCAUGAGUUUGACCAAACUGCGGGAGGCAGUGGAAGACAGAAGUGCGUGGCAUGCUCUGGUCCAUGGGGUCACAAAGAGUCGGACACGACUAAACGACUAAACAACAACAAGACACUUUUUUCCUGAGCAGACAUACAUAGGACUGUGCUUUAAAGGGUAAUUUUUGAUUUGCUUAUAGAUACAGUCUUCCUGCCCCCCCAACAAAAAUUGUACUUGAGUUCUGCCACUCCUUUCAUUAUGACCAAGUUUCCACAACAGAACCCCUAAGAGGUAUCAACAACAAAACAGAGAAACAGCAUGAUGAAUGCUGUUGGCCCACUCCUUGCCUGUCUAGCUGUUACCAAGCAUCGUGAAAGGAUCAACAUGUUUUGGAAAGAGGGCCGGCCUCUAUUCCCAGUGAGUUCUAGGACAUGGCUGACCUGGCAGCAGCAUUCACAUUGUUGUGGUUUUCCUGCCAUGACCAAAGUGUUACUAUAGAUAACUACCUAUCUGCACAGCAGAAACAGAUGUUUUCUCACCGAGAUCAGUAGCAAAAUGUUCUUCCUACAUUGACCGGAUCAGUAACAUCUGGCAAACAUGCAUAGAUCUGAAGAACUGCGAUAUGAAUAAAUGCACUUCUCAACCCCUUACUCUCAUGUCAACAAAGGACAGCUCCUUCCCCUAUGGCCUAACAAGGUUAAAAUGACUUUCCCCUCUUCGUGCAAGAGUGUCUGCAUUUGCAUGCAGUAGAAGCUGGGAGUAAAAUAAAGACUUAUGCUCCCUGCACUCUCAAGUUAACCUUCAUGAGCACAGAAAUGAAAACAAGAUUAAUGUCGCCCCAGCUAAGCAUUCCAGUGAAGCUAGUCAAUUUUUCAGCGAUUAUAUUUGCAUCGCUGAGAUCACCAGAUUUAUGAAGAUAGCAUCCAUGCUGAGGAUGUUUUCCUUUUAAUGGACAUAGCUAACACAAAAAAUACAUUAAAAGCAUAAUUUUGUAUGACUGUAUGUAGAUUAACUGAAAAAGGUUAUUAGGCAGACUGUCUGCAGAAUUGACUUUUCCAAGAAUAUCCUCUUUACAAUUUAUAGCCAUGAGUAAUGUGGAAUCAUAGACAUUUUGAACCUCACACAUUACAAAUACAAUUUUCUGAAAGGACUUUUUUUUUUGCACAUGCAAAUUGUGCUUUAUGACCACUUGUUUUGUUGGGGAAUCUUUCUUGUAUCCCACAGCUUGUUUUCGUGUGUGUUUAAGUGUGAGAGGGAGGGAGGGAAUUCUACUUACAUGCUUUGGAAAAAGCUCAAUUCCAUGAAUGACAAAAAAGAGGAAACUGCAAUUGUGAUCCCUGCCCCCUUCUCAAGAUUGAGAUCAGGUUCCUGAUAUAGGGGUAGGGGCUUUAACACUUUGUUCCCAGCUCCAGCCCAGAUCACACCCACAGAAGCUUGUGAUUUGCAUUAAAUUUUUUACUCCCACUGUAUGCAAGCAGCCUCAGAAUUUCCUUGACUAGGACCACAAUUGCUCAGUGCUUACAAAUGUAGGUGAGAUCAGCUAUGCAGUUGAGGGGUGUAACUUGUGAUUCCAUCUCCAGUUCUUUUCAUCCUUUGGCCAGAAAAUUAGCAGCUUGAAAUGUUUCCCUGCCAUUUCCAUUUUUCUUAGUCACUUCUCUGGGCUGCCACUUGUUGAUAUGGUUGCUGCCAGAAUUGCAUAUAAAAUUGCCUCGCCUUUCUUCUUCUUGCAGUGUGGUCAUGGGACAGCCUGAUGUGUGAAGCUGCUGCCCUGAGAGAAGAAUGCCCUGGAGGAAAAGAUAAGCUGUGGAGGAUUUUACAAACUCAAAGGAUGCUAUUCAUUUGGAAAGAGCAAUUGUUCAAAAACGGCAGCUGGCCUAAACUGACUGGCAGCAAGGCUACCCAUUCUCCAAAGGACCCAUAGCCUGCACCUCUCUUUCUGGCCCCACUUGUUAUCAUACUGCGCCUUGGCUGCAGCAAACAUGGUUUGAAUACAAGCAAUGUCACACUUAUUACGUUUUCUUCCCAACAAUGGAAAGAAGUGGCUGAUGUCCUGGGGUGGUGCAAGGUUUGGUGCACCCCAGAUUGAGGCUGAAUUCAGUAGGGCCUUUUCCCAGGAAAGUGUGCAUACAUUCUAGGGUUGCCAUAUUUCAAAACGUAAAAACCAGGACGCUCCGAAAGUUGUUGAACUUUUUUUUUAGGAAACUAAUGAAAUUGUUGAAAAUGAAAAAACA